GCGGGUGGAAAGCCGGCCAAGUGGCCAGACUCCCCCUUGCCAGGGGCCUGUGCAGGGCAGCCCUCAGGGGGACACUUGUUGCCCGCGGCUGACAGAUCCUCUGCGGGUUUGGCUGUCAUGCCCGGGCUCACUGAGGCUUUGAAAUAACAGCAGCGUGUAAUGAGGAUCCAUCCAGUCCACGGCAAUUGGUCAGCGCACACUGUCACGGCGGUGUAAAACUACACCGAGAGACGAGGCAGCUGUGGAGCGAGCCACACCAUUUGACCCCAAACAUGUCACAUGUGUGUAAGCCAGCUGAUGGGACUUCUCACGGGGCCUGAUAUCUCUACUAGUGACGAGUGAGGAACGGUGGUCAGAUGACAGUCAUCUGUGCUGAGGAAGGAGAAUCAAGAAGGUGAAUGUCCUGAGUGAAUCAACUACGGCUGUCCUCGACCAAAGAAAUCAUUACUUGAUGAUACUGCAAUGUAUAUAUAAGGCAAGGCACAAUGAGUUCAGAGACCAAUUCUCUGGGUCUUCUCUCCAUGCUGCAUGAAGUAAAGAGAUUUGAUUCAUUA